rnacentral:rRNA from 1 species
GUUGUAUGGUUAAGUGACUAAGCGUACACGGUGGAUGCCUUGGCAGUUGGAGGCGAUGAAGGACGUACUAACUUGCGAUAAGCUAAGUCAAGCCAGUAAGAGGCACUUGAGACUUAGAUUUCCGAAUGGGGAAACCCACCGCUUAGCGGUAUCUUACAGUGAAUACAUAGCUGUAAGAGGCAAACCGGGAGAACUGAAACAUCUAAGUACCCCGAGGAAAAGAAAUCAACCGAGAUUCCGAAAGUAGCGGCGAGCGAAAUCGGAUUAGCCCUUAAGCUUCAGUGUAAUUAGUGGAACCUUCUGGAAAGUUGGACGACACAGGGUGACAGUCCCGUACACGAAAAUUUAUCUGAAGUGAAAUCGAGUAGGUCGGAGCACGUGAAACUUUGACUGAAUAUGGGGGGACCAUCCUCCAAGGCUAAAUACUCCCAACUGACCGAUAGUGAACCAGUACCGUGAGGGAAAGGCGAAAAGAACCCCUGUGAGGGGAGUGAAAUAGAACCUGAAACCGUGUACGUACAAGCAGUAGGAGCCCUUCGAGGGUGACUGCGUACCUUUUGUAUAAUGGGUCAGCGACUUAUAUUCUGUAGCGAGGUUAACCAUUUAGGGGAG